GAUGAACGCUGGCGGCGUGCCUAAUACAUGCAAGUCGAGCGAACAGACGAGGAGCUUGCUCCUCUGACGUUAGCGGCGGACGGGUGAGUAACACGUGGAUAACCUACCUAUAAGACUGGGAUAACUUCGGGAAACCGGAGCUAAUACCGGAUAAUAUAUUGAACCGCAUGGUUCAAUAGUGAAAGACGGUUUUGCUGUCACUUAUAGAUGGAUCCGCGCCGCAUUAGCGAGUUGGUAAGGUAACGGCUUACCAAGGCGACGAUGCGUAGCCGACCUGAGAGGGUGAUCGGCCACACUGGAAGUGAGACACGGUACAGACUCCUACGGGAGGCAGCAGUAGGGAAUCUUCCGCAAUGGGCGGAAGCCUGACGGAGCAACGCCGCGUGAGUGAUGAAGGUCUUCGGAUCGUAAAACUCUGUUAUUAGGGAAGAACAAAUGUGUAAGUAACUAUGCACGUCUUGACGGUACCUAAUCAGAAAGCAACGGCUAACUACGUG
rnacentral:rRNA from 1 species